AAGGAUGUCCACUAAAACAUACUGCUCACUAUGAAUGAAACUGUAGUGAUGCUUUUGGAGGCUGGAAUACAGAGGAUUAAACCAAGGAGCUGGAAUACAGAGGAUUAAACCAAGGAGCUGGAAUAAUGGGUGGCAGGAUUGGAUUUGAGAUGCUCGGGAACACGCUCAGGAAUUCUGAACGUGGUGUGGAGGUUACAGAGCUGCUGAAGGGAAAGGAUGAGCAGGGAGCUGAGCAAUCUGGAGGAAAGAAGAUGACAGCAGUCUAGGUGUGAAUUAUCAAAGCAGCCAGGCUGAAGAAGUAAAUCUAAGAGAUUCCCAAAGAUACAAAAAUAUUUCUUUUUGAGCCUUAUUUAUGAACAAGAGCAUUAAGAACCUUAAAUUAUUCAUCUCACUGAUCACUGAGAGCAAUUUGCCCUUUUGACAAUCCUUUUUCUCCAUUUUUGUUAUUGAAAGACACAGAUGGGUGCCUUUUGAGAGACCCUAGCAGAGCUUUGGGAUGUAUCUCAUAGGCACAGUGCCAUUGUCUUCCAUCCUGCUGUGAACAGGAAAGGGUUUUCCCAAAGUCAGUCAUCCUGUAAGGACAUUCUCUGCCUCUAAGCAAGAUUUUUAGCAUUGUUUGCUCUCAAUUAUAAUAGCUCAGUGUCCAGUGCUGUGUCAUUUUAGGGCAGGUUAAUAGAUGAACAGAAUAGAAAAAAUGUGAAAUUCCACCCUGCAGCUGCUGGCUCGAACCACCGUGUGCAGAGACACCAGCUUUUCCUGCUCAGCAGUAGCACAGUGCACAAUUUAACCCCAAAAACCCCUUCUCAAAGGUUUCCUUAAGCACAAAGGGGAAAAUCCAGGAUGUUUUCAAUAAUUGUCUUGUUGCUGACUGCAUAGCAAUCAGAGAGAGUAAUUUUCAAAGAGCAACUGAACCAAGGCUGCCAAAUUAUUCCUCAGGUAACUCCAAGGACUCACUGUAUGUAACAAUGCCUCCAGUAAGCAAGUUUGAACUUGUGGCCUCAGGACAAAAAAAAAAAAAAAA
rnacentral:lncRNA from 1 species